rnacentral:rRNA from 1 species
GACGUAGGAGGCGAGCGUUGUCCGGAUUCAUUGGGCGUAAAGAGCGCGUAGGCGGCCAGAUAAGUCCGGUGUGAAAGUCAAAGGCUCAACCUUUGAAUGCCGCUGGAAACUGUCUGGCUAGAGUCCGGAAGGGGCGAGUGGAAUUCCUGGUGUAGCGGUGAAAUGCGUAGAUAUUGGGAGGAACACCAGUGGCGAAGGCGGCUCGCUGGACCGGUUCUGACGCUGAUGCGCGAAAGCGUGGGGAGCAAACGGG